rnacentral:rRNA from 1 species
UGCGUAGGCGGUUAACUAAGUUUGGUGUGAAAUCUCCCGGCUUAACUGGGAGGGUGCGCCGAAAACUGGCUAGCUAGAGUGUGGGAGAGGAUAGUGGAAUUCCUGGUGUAGCGGUGAAAUGCGUAGAUAUCAGGAGGAACACCUGCGGUGUAGACGGCUAUCUGGACCAUGACUGACGCUGAGGCACGAAAGCGUGGGUAGCAAAC